rnacentral:lncRNA from 1 species
GAAAAGGGUGGCGGUGGAUUCGGGUUUUUUCUGUGAAGAAGAGGAAAUGCCCUUUUAUUUUAUUUUCUUUUUCCUUUUUUGUUUUCAGAGAUCUCUCUCUCUCUUAAUGAGAGAGUCCAAAGAGACGUUGAGAGUGCCUUUUUUGGAAGAAGAAGAGAUUUUUGUUUUUUAUCCUAUUUUGAAAAGUGAGAGAGAGGAGAGAGACUCAAGAGAGACGUUGAGAGUGGCCUCUUUUCUCCUAGGCAUCUGUUGGGUUUUUUUUAUCAUGUAUGCUUCUUCAGCUUUUGUUUUUUUGUUGAUG